rnacentral:lncRNA from 1 species
GGUUACAUGAAUUAUUUGUUGCCACUCACCGUAACAUCAAAAGAAACUAGAUCCCGCGCAACUAUAAGCUCAACAACGUUCUUAAAGAAUAAAAAGCGUGCAUCUUAUUUAGGAAGUUUGUUGCAUAAUGAGUACAUUAGGUGGAAAUAUGAACUUGGUAAUAGGCAAAUGAUAAACAAAACAUUGACAUGAUCAAGUCAAGUUGUAUAGAGCAAAAAACAGAACUUUUAGAACCAGUCUCUGGCCCUCUGACCUCCUCUUCAGCUACCAUUCCAACCAUGCAAAGAUUAUAUAUAUACAUAGCAAAUUCAAUCGAGCUACGGUGCGGAUAAGAGUCAAACACGAAGGCAAUAAGGCUGAGGUGCGGGUGGAUAUUUUAGCUUUGUUUAAGGAGAUUCAAGCCGUCUGCAAGGUGGAGCAGAACUGUUCAAACUUCUUACAUUGAUCUAAAAGAAAGUGAAGGUCUUGAGUUCCCAAGCAAAAUCUAGGAUAGAAUGAGAAGUGAGUCGAGAAAAAAUUGGUGGGUCGUUCCUUGCAGAAGCAAAAGAUGUUUGAGAACAGAAUCUGGGUUGGAUAUCGAUGAAAUACUCAAGAUGAAGCUGGAAACAAUCAAAGAAGAACCAGAUAUAUGGGAGGAAAAUGAAGCUGUAACAAGGCAAAGGAAGAAGACUCGUUCAAAGGUGAAAGUUGGACAACUUUUUAUGUCUCAAUCGAGUCUUCAAAAAUCUUAUGUGCUAUGCCUGACCGGAUUAGCCUCCAAAGGUCACUUGGGUGGACUAUCUAGGUACUAAAUUAUUUUCAGCAGCUGAACAUUUUUCAAAUGGAUAACAGACUGUAUGCCAAGAAAAUGAAAUCAACCUAUUUCUUGAUCAAAAUCAAUCUUAUUGAUUGAAUUCUCCGUUAGAAGUAUGUAAAAUCAUGAGUUCUCAAGAUUCCCAUUAGUAUUGUUACUAGUGUUCUUGAGCAUUUCUGUAAAUUAUAAUGUUUACAAUGAUCUGACAAAAUUUUUACCUGCCAUUUAUGUAUUUUAAUUGCUUCAAGUUUUCCAUGUAACAAUUAUUUGUACAAGUGACCAGAAAACAUAAAAAACAUUCAUGUAGACGACCCCAAGUUUAUGCGUAACGAGUUGACAUCCGAGAUUCUGAGGACAGAAUUUGCAGUGCAGAACAUGUUUACGGACUGCAUUUUAUACUCAACCGUGUCAAAUUACUGAGAUUUCACAAGAAUUUAGCAGAUUUUGUUACUAAAGAAUCAGAGAAACACUGUAUAAUAUAUAAAACUCAAUUUUUUGUCAUAAAUUGGCAUUCAAAUCCUUGUGAAGGUCUCUGAGAAAAAACGAACCUUUUUUCUGCUGGUAACAGAUGAAUGUGAAAGAAUAGGAAGUCCCCAUUGACAUGAAAAGACAAUAGCAGGGCAUAUUUCAUCCAUCUUCUUCAUUCCUUUAACAAUAUCUGCAUAAAUCCUAGCAGUCCUUCUUGAUAAUAUAAGAUUAACAGAAAAUGGCUUCCAGAUCAACUUUCUUGACUGUAAUAGCCUGAGCCCUUUCAGUCUUCCAUUCAUUUUCUUCAUCCAGCACCAUUUAGGUCUCCCCACCUUGUCAUCAUAACUUGUAAGCCUCUCAUAUAUCUGUCCCCGACGCUGCUUGAACACACGUUGGAAAUUCAUCUGAUGAGGGUGCACAGUGCAGUUUGGAAUAUUGAUAGGUUAGAGGUCAAAUACAACAUUGAGUUUAAAUAGAGAAAGGAGGUAAAAGAAAGGUUGAAAGACAGAGAGGGAGAGCAAUCUAGGCACAUGGAGAGUCUGAUUUAGAUAUAAUUUCAAACACAUACCAGUUAAGGGAAAGAGCUGAAAUUUG